rnacentral:rRNA from 1 species
GGGUAACCUGCCCAAGAGACUGGGAUAACACCUGGAAACAGAUGCUAAUACCGGAUAACAACACUAGACGCAUGUCUAGAGUUUGAAAGAUGGUUCUGCUAUCACUCUUGGAUGGACCUGCGGUGCAUUAGCUAGUUGGUAAGGUAACGGCUUACCAAGGCAAUGAUGCAUAGCCGAGUUGAGAGACUGAUCGGCCACAUUGGGACUGAGACACGGCCCAAACUCCUACGGGAGGCAGCAGUAGGGAAUCUUCCACAAUGGACGAAAGUCUGAUGGAGCAACGCCGCGUGAGUGAAGAAGGGUUUCGGCUCGUAAAGCUCUGUUGGUAGUGAAGAAAGAUAGAGGUAGUAACUGGCCUUUAUUUGACGGUAAUUACUUAGAAAGUCACGGCUAACUACGUGCCAGCAGCCGCGGUAAUACGUAGGUGGCAAGCGUUGUCCGGAUUUAUUGGGCGUAAAGCGAGUGCAGGCGGUUCAAUAAGUCUGAUGUGAAAGCCUUCGGCUCAACCGGAGAAUUGCAUCAGAAACUGUUGAACUUGAGUGCAGAAGAGGAGAGUGGAACUCCAUGUGU